UACAGAGGUCCCAAGCGUUGUUCGGAUUCACUGGGCGUAAAGGGUGCGUAGGUGGUGAGGUAAGUCUGAUGUGAAAUCCCGCAGCUCAACUGCGGAACUGCAUCGGAUACUAUCUUGCUAGAGGGUUUGAGGGGGGACUGGAAUUCUCGGUGUAGCGGUGAAAUGCGUAGAGAUCGGGAGGAACACCAGAGGCGAAGGCGGCCACCUGGACAAGCACUGACACUCAACUGCGAAAGCGUGGGGAGCAAACAGG
rnacentral:rRNA from 1 species